rnacentral:rRNA from 1 species
AUUGAACGCUGGCGGCAGGCCUAACACAUGCAAGUCGAGCGGAUGAAGGGAGCUUGCUCCUGGAUUCAGCGGCGGACGGGUGAGUAAUGCCUAGGAAUCUGCCUGGUAGCGGGGGAUAACGUCCGGAUACGGGUGCUAAUACCGCAUACGUCCUGAGGGAGAAAGUGGGGGAUCUUCGGACCUCAUGCUCUCAGAUGAGCCUAGGUCGGAUUUGCUAGUUGGUGGGGUAAAGGCCUACCAAGGCGACGAUCCGUAACUGGUCUGAGUGGAUGUUCAGUCACACUGGAACUGAGACACGCUCCAGACUCCUACGGGAGGCAGCAGUGGGGAAUAUUGGACAGUGGUCGAGAGCCUGAUCCAACCGUGCCGCGUGUGUGAAGAAGGUCUUCGGAUUGUAAAGAACUUUAAGUGGGUAGAAAGCGCAGUAAGUUAAUACCUUGCUGUUUUGACGUUACCAACAGAAGAAGCACCGGCUAACUUCGUG